UUUCUUAAUAAAUAAGCUUUACACCACAGGUAUUGAGAUCUGCAAGCUGUUAUAUUUUUAACAGCCUUUGUCCCAAAAUCUUACAGACAAUCUGCAGAAUAAGAAAAAUCUGUCUCACACUGACAGUUUUUGUAGCAAUGUGAAUCAUCACUACUCCACCUAAAUUCCCUUUGCUUGUAUUCAUGUGGCAGUUUAGCUUUAUUUCUCACACCACCUCGCAGAGCUCUUAGAGGAGCUUCACAAGUGGGUGCAAUGCAAUUCUUCCCUCCAGUUUCAUUGACAGCAUAUCACUGUGCUCUUUCUUCUGCAUGAUGAUGGUUUUAGAUCUGCCUUUCAGCCCUUCAAGCCACCAAAUUUGGGUGGCCAGACAGAUUUUGUAGACAGAUAAAUAAUUGUUCAGUAAAACUUAUUGUCCCCUCUCUCUCUUCUUUUUUUUUUUUUUUUUUAUACCCUAAAGGCAAAAGUUUUUUGAAGUCCAAAUUGUGCCAGGCUGUUUUGUACCUGCACAGAUCAUACAGAGACUUUGCUUCUUUUUCAAGCCUCCUGUGGAGAUUGCUGAAAAAUGAAGACUGACUCUCAAUACUUUCAGGAACUCUCUUGGACAUGAUGGUGGAUUGGAGGCUGGCAUCAGGAAAAGGAAGGCAGGAGAAAAGCAAGGAGGAUAGAAAACAGAUGAAAAUGAACCCAGAGGAAUAUAAGUGUCCUAUUCCCAGCAGCAGUGAUCCAUUUCCCUUGGCAACAUAUGUCUGAUGCCACAG